rnacentral:lncRNA from 1 species
AUGGCAGAGGGGCAGGUCCCGGUGCUCAAUGGUCAAAGCUAUCUCCUGGGCUUCCUGAGGGCCAUGGUGGCUAAGCAGGCCGGAAGGUGGUGGUCGUACACUGCGGGGGCAUCAGUAUUUCUGGCAAUGUCUAUAGAAAGAAGUUGAAGUACCUGGCCUUCCUCCACAAGUGGAUGAACAGCAACCCUUCCCGAGGCACCUACCACUUCUGGGCCCCCACCACUUCCGGGUCCCCAGCCGCAUCUUCUGGCGGACCCCGAGGCAUGCUGCCCCGCGAGACCAAGGAAGCCAGGCCGCCCAAGACCGCCUCAAGGUGUUUAACGGCAUCCCACCACCCUAUGACGAAAAAGCAGGUGGUGGUUCCUGCUGCCCUCCAGGUUGUGCAUCUGAAGCCUACAAGAAAGUUUGCCUACCUGGGGCAGCUGGAUCACAAAGUUGGCUGGAAGUACCAGACAGUGACAGCCACCCUGGAGGAGAAGAGGAAGGAGAAGGCCAAGAUCCACUACCAGAAUAAGAAAGCUAAUGAGGCUACAGAAACAGGCCGAAAAGAACGUGGAGAAGGAAACUGACAAAUACUGGGGUGUCCUCAAGACCCAUGGACUCCUGCUGUGA